AGAGUUUGAUCCUGGCUCAGAACGAACGCUGGCGGCGCGCCUAAUACAUGCAAGUCGAACGAGAAUGUGUAGCAAUACACAUGUACAGUGGCGAACGGGUGAGGACUACAUGGGUAACCUACCCUCGAGUGGGGAAUAACCAGCCGAAAGGUUGGCUAAUACCGCGUACGCUUCCGGGACUGCGGUUUCGGAAGGAAAGCGAUACCGUGGGUAUCGCGCUCUUGGAUGGGCUCAUGCCCUAUCAGCUUGUUGGUGAGGUAACGGCUCACCAAGGCAUCGACGGGUAGCUGAUCUGAGAGGAUGAUCAGCCACACUGGCACUGCGACACGGGCCAGACUCCUACGGGAGGCAGCAGUAAGGAAUAUUGCGCAAUGGGCGAAAGCCUGACGCAGCGACGCCGCGUGGGGGAUGAAGGUCUUCGGAUUGUAAACCCCUUUCGGGAGGGAAGUGGGGAUGGGGUAACCCAUUCGGACGGUACCUCCAGAAGCAGCCACGGCUAACUUCGUGCCAGCAGCCGCGGUAAUACGAAGGUGGCAAGCGUUGUUCGGAUUUACUGGGCGUACAGGGGAGCGUAGGCGGUUGGAUAAGCCCUCCGUG
rnacentral:rRNA from 1 species